ensembl:snoRNA
UGUGUGUGUGUGUGCGUCUGUCUAAUUUGUAACAAAGCCUUACAGACAGGUGCAAAUAGUAAAUCCUUUUUUGCAACCCAGAACUCAUUGCUGACAUGAGAUUUUGGUACAUGUAAGAAGGAAUAUG